rnacentral:lncRNA from 1 species
AAAAGGGACGCCGUGAGCUCGUGGCUGCCCAGGCGGAGUUGGGAAAACAGGGACCAAGACUAGUAUGGAAGAUUCUGAUGGGAACCUUUCCAGUCAGAGAGAAGUCAUCCUAUCUGAAUUAUAUAAUACCCAGAUCACUCCAAAUAACUCGGUACAAGAUCUAAGAACCUUGGUGGCUUUAAAUUACCCAGAGGAUGGGAUACUUGUUCAGACUCCGGAUGGCUGUAAACAACCUGGACGAGAAAACCUAAUAGCCUACAACGAAAUCUAAGGCAGC